rnacentral:rRNA from 1 species
UACAGAGGUCCCAAGCGUUGUUCGGAUUCAUUGGGCGUAAAGGGUGCGUAGGCGGCGCGGUAAGUCGGGUGUGAAAUCUCGGGGCUUAACUCCGAAACUGCAUUCGAUACUGCCGUGCUUGAGGACUGGAGAGGAGACUGGAAUUUACGGUGUAGCGGUGAAAUGCGUAGAUAUCGUAAGGAAGACCAGUGGCGAGGGCGGGUCUCUGGACAGUUCCUGACGCUGAGGCACGAAGGCCAGGGGAGCAAACGGG